AUUUUGAUACAGGCAUGCAAAGUGAAAUAAUCACAUCAUGGGGAAUGGGGUAUUCAGCCCUUCAAGCAUUUACCCUUUAUGCUAUAAACAAUCCAGUUAUACCCCUAGUUAUUUUAAAAUGUACAGUUAAGUGAUUGUUGACUAUAGUCACUCUGUUGUGCUGUCAAUAGUAGGUCUUAUUCAUUCUUUUUUUAACAAUAUUGAUUCUUCCAGUCCAUGAACAUGGAAUAUCUUGUCAUUUUUUGGUGCCGAUAUUGAAUUUUAUCAAAUAUUUUUUCAGCAUCAAUUGGAGUGAUUAUUGUUUUUAUCUUUCACUCUGUUGAUAUGAUGUAUCACAUUGAUUUGCAUAUGUUGGACCAUUUUUGCAUCCCAGGGAUAAAUCUUACUUGGUCAUGGUGAAUGAUAUUUCUAAUGUAUUGUUGAAUUUCGUUUGUAGUAUUUUUUUUGAGAAUUUUUGCAUCAAUACUAAUCAGAGCUAUUGGCCUGUAGUUUUCUUUUUUCUGAUGUGUCUUUGUCUGGUUUUGGUAUCAGGGCAAUACUGGCUUCAAAGAAUGAGUUUGGAAGUAUUCCCUGCUCCUCUAUUUUUGGAAGAGUUUGAGUAAGAUUGGUCUUAGUUCUUUAAAUAUUUGGUAGAAUUCAGCAGUGAAGCCAUGGGUUCCAGGCUUUUCUUGACUGGAAGACUUUUUAUUAUGGCUUCAAUCUUGUUACUUAUUAUUGGUCUGUUCAUGUUUUAUACUUCUUCCUGGUUCAAUCUUGGUAGGUUGCAUGUGUCUAGGAGUUUGUCCAUUUCUUCUAGGCUUUCCAAUUUACUGGCAUACAGUUGCUCACAGUAGCUACUAAUGAUCCUUUGAAUUUCUGCAGUAUCAUUUGUAUUAUCUCCUUUUUCAUUUCUGAUUUUAUUAAUUUGCAUCUUCUCUCUUUUUUCUUACUCUGGCUAAAGGUUUGUCAAUUUUGUUUAACUUUUUAAAAACCCAACUUUUUGUUUCAUUGCUCUUUUGUACUGUUUUCUUUAUUUCUACUCUGAUCUUUAUUACUUCUUUUCUACUAAUUUUGGAUUUGGUUUGCUCUUGAUUUUCUAAUUCUUCAAGAUGUAUCAUUAGAUUAUUUGAAGUUUUUCCUCUUUUUUGAUGUAGACACUUAUGUCCAUAUACUGCCCUCUUAAUACUGCUCUCGCUGUAUCCAGUAGGUUUUGGUAUGUUGUGUUUCCAUUAUCAUUCAGGAGCAUAUUGUUGCAUUUCCAUGUUUUUGUAUGGUUUCCAAAAUUCCUCUUGUUAUUAAUUUCCAGUUUUUUCAUUCAUGGUCAGAUAAGAUGCUUGAUAUGAUUUCAAUUUUU
rnacentral:lncRNA from 1 species